rnacentral:lncRNA from 1 species
CGGCGGUGGACGGCCGCCCCGUCCGACGCCCGACCCACCUGCCCCGCAGCCGUGAUCCGGCCCGGUGACCUGGCCCGGUGACCUGGCUUGACCCCGGCACCCGGCACCGCUGGCCGCCACACGCCAUGGCCGCAGCCCGACGCUGAAGGGCGGGCACGGCCCCGACCCCGCCAGCCGGGCCAAAUGACGCAGCUGAAGGCGAACCCCAAACCGCCCAGCUGGAAGGAAAGAGAGGUCAACGGCAACUGUGAGUUUGGCGUCAAGAGCUACCUGCACCAGUUCUACGAUGGGCCCGAGUCGGUCGACCUGGACCUCUACGAGGACGAGGAGUUCGAGAAAGAGCUGGCGCGGCGCCGCGGCCGCGGCC